rnacentral:tRNA from 1 species
ACCUGGGUGGCUCAGUCGGUUAAGCGUCUGACUUCAGCUCAGGUCAUUAUCUCAUGGUUCGUGGGUUCGAACCCCACAUCGGGCU